rnacentral:lncRNA from 1 species
AUGUCAUACAAACCACACCUUAACUUAGUAAUUUGUGAUCAAAGCCUUGUCUUAACGAAAAGUAAUAUGACAUCUUUCAAGGAACAGAGGAAGUAUAUGAGUAGAAAUGGUGUGAUUGGUUUUUAACAAAAUGAGUAUUUCUGUUUCCAUGCAGUUUUUUUUUUUGCGCACACUAACUCCGUACUUAGGCGUUGUUAGUGUCAUGUGUCUUUAGUUUGGGUGCGUAAGGUUUCAUUUGGCAUUGCGGUGGAUUAUCAUAAUUCCUUUUUUUCAUUCGCUUUUCACUAUUUUCGUGUUUGGCUAACCAAAAUUUUCCUAUUUUCUUGUGUGUUUUUCAUAGCAGAUUACUCCCUCCAUUUCACAAAAGUUGACGUAUUUUGUUUCGUUAAGACAAGGCUUUGAUCGAUGAAAAUUCUAUUGAUAUGUGUUUUUUCAUACAUGAAAUUUAUAUUGAUGUAUUCGUCUUUAAAAGUUCUUAUUAAUGAUC